rnacentral:rRNA from 1 species
AGUGAACGCUGGCGGUAGGCCUAACACAUGCAAGUCGAACGGCAGCACAGUAAGAGCUUGCUCUUACGGGUGGCGCGUGGCGGACGGGUGAGGAAUACAUCGGAAUAUACUUUUUCGGGGGGGAUAACGUAGGGAAACGUACGCUAAUACAGCAUACGACCUACGGGUGAAAGCAGGGGAUCUUCGGACCUUGCGCGAGUGAAUGAGCCGAUGUCGGAGUAGCUAGUUGGCGGGGUAAAGGCGCACCAAGGCGACGAUCCGUAGCUGGUCUGAGAGGAUGAUCACACACACUGGCAGUGAGACACGGCCCAGACUCCUACGCGAGGAAGCAGUGGGGAAUAUUGGGGAAUGGGGGCGAGCCUGAUACAGCCAUAUCGCGUAAGUGAAGAAGGACUUCGGGUUGUAAAGCGAUUUUGUUGGUAAAGAAGAACAGCAGGUUAAUCCGCCGUUGUUCUGACGGUACCCAAAGAAUAAGCACCGGCUAACUUCGUG